AUUUUUUUGGUCAUUAAUUUUCACUUUCGGCCAAUCGCCUGACUCGCCACGUUACAGGAAUGCGGCGUUUUGGGCUGGUGCAUAAAAUUUUGGGGGCUGACGAAAGGAUCCAGGCUUUCCAGCCAGAGCGAAUUAGAGUUGCAGGUACGUGAAUUUACAGGCACACCAGGUGUUCGAGGCGACGCUUACGAGAAAGAAGAUGGUGGACGGUGUGCCUCUGCCACUCAGAGCCAUGGGUGCUGCAACUAGCUUCAUCUGUCACCAUGCAAACGCUUCGAGCAGCUGGCGACGCUAAAUGCAGGAAAAGGCUAUUACAUAUGCAAACUAUGCAAGAGGAACUCCACAAUCGAAUGGUCUCCUCUGUAUGAUUCUGUUGUUAUAAACCCUUGUAUUUGCCCUACUUGUGAUGGGAACAGGGUACAAUGAUGUCUCAACUGUUUGGGAAAGGGCUAUAAUUGACUUGUAAGAGGUGAAUUAUAUUAUUCAUAAGUUUCUGUAUUCCAUUCUAUUUGCUAAUUGCUGUUUAUUGGACUCAUACACCUUUUAAUUGAUGAAAUAUGAUAUAUAUAUAGCAUAGCUAUCAGU